rnacentral:rRNA from 1 species
UACGUAGGAGGCAAGCGUUGUCCGGAAUUACUGGGCGUAAAGCGCGCGUAGGCGGUGGGACAAGUCUGCUGUGAAAGCGCCUGGCUUAACCGGGGAAGGUCGGCGGAAACUGUCGCACUCGAGGACGGUAGAGGGGGGUGGAAUUCCCGGUGUAGUGGUGAAAUGCGUAGAGAUCGGGAGGAACACCUGUGGCGAAGGCGGCCCCCUGGGCCGGCCCUGACGCUGAGACGCGAAGGCGUGGGGAGCGAACGGG